GACGAACGCUGGCGGCGUGCUUAACACAUGCAAGUCGAACGGAAAGGCCCUGCUUUUGUGGGGUGCUCGAGUGGCGAACGGGUGAGUAACACGUGAGUAACCUGCCCUUGACUUUGGGAUAACUUCAGGAAACUGGGGCUAAUACCGGAUAGGAGCUCCUGCUGCAUGGUGGGGGUUGGAAAGUUUCGGCGGUUGGGGAUGGACUCGCGGCUUAUCAGCUUGUUGGUGGGGUAGUGGCAUACCAAGGCUUUGACGGGUAGCCGGCCUGAGAGGGUGACCGGCCACAUUGGGACUGAGAUACGGCCCAGACUCCUACGGGAGGCAGCAGUGGAGAAUAGUGCACAAUGGGCGGAAGCCUGAUGCAGCAACGCCGCGUGCGGGAUGACGGCCUUCGGGUUGUAAACCGCUUUCGCCUGUGACGAAGCGUGAGUGACGGUAAUGGGUAAAGAAGCACCGGCUAACUACGUG
rnacentral:rRNA from 1 species